rnacentral:rRNA from 1 species
CGGGUGAGUAACACGUGAGCAACCUGCCUUUAAGAGUGGGAUAACGGUCGGAAACGACCGCUAAUACCGCAUAAUAUACAUGAAUCGCAUGGUUUGUGUAUCAAAGAUUUAUCGCUUAAAGAUGGGCUCGCGUCUGAUUAGCUGGUUGGUGAGGUAACGGCUCACCAAGGCGACGAUCAGUAGCCGUACUGAGAGGUAGAACGGCCACAUUGGGACUGAGACACGGCCCAGACUCCUACGGGAGGCAGCAG